GAUCCUGGCUCAGGAUGAACGCUAGCGACAGGCUUAACACAUGCAAGUCGAGGGGCAGCAUGGUAGGUAGCAAUACUUAUUGAUGGCGACCGGCGCACGGGUGAGUAACGCGUAUGCAACUUACCUAUCAGAGGGGGAUAGCCCGGCGAAAGUCGGAUUAAUACUCCAUAAAACAGGGAUCCCGCAUGGGACUAUUUGUUAAAGAUUUUCGCUGAUAGAUAGGCAUGCGUUCCA
rnacentral:rRNA from 1 species